UUGACAAGAUGUCAGAAAGCUGA
rnacentral:piRNA from 1 species